rnacentral:rRNA from 1 species
GACGAACGCUGGCGGCGUGCUUAACACAUGCAAGUCGAACGGGCUCUGUCUGGCUGUGUGCUGGGUGGGGUUAGUGGCGAACGGGUGAGUAAUACGUGAGUAACCUGCCCUCUUCUUUGGGAUAAGCCUUGGAAACGGGGUCUAAUACUGGAUAUUCCUGUCUGGUCGCAUGGCUGGGUGGGGAAAGUUUUUUCGGUGGGGGAUGGGCUCGCGGCCUAUCAGCUUGUUGGUGGGGUGAUGGCCUACCAAGGCGUCGACGGGUAGCCGGCCUGAGAGGGUGGCCGGCGACACUGGGACUGAGAUACGGCCCAGACGCCUACGGGCGGCAGCAGUGGGGGAUAUUGCGCAGUGGGCGCAAGCCUGAUGCAGCGACGCCGCGUGGGGGAUGACGGCUUUCGGGUUGUAAACCUCUUGCGUCGGGGGACAAGGCUCUGCUUGGUGGUGGGGUUGAGGGUACCCGGUGAAGAAGCGCCGGCUAACUACGUG